UUUAGAAGGACACUACAUGGGGAAACUUUGGAGCUAUGGUAUGCUUUGAGAAGUAGAUGUGAAAAAAUUAAAAUGAAUGGUGAAAAAGAUAAGAUCAAAUGGACUCUAACUACUGAUGGAAAAUUCUCUGUUAAAUCUUUAUACAAAGAAUUGAUUACGUCUGGUUUGAAAUUCCCAUAGAAAUACCUGUGGAAAAUCAAAGUUCCUGCAAAAAUUAAAGUCUUCUUGUGGUUAAUAAAUAAGAAAAGUAUUUUGAGUAGGGAUGUCCUACUUAAAAAAGGAUGGAAAGGGGGAAAAGAAUGUGUGUUUUGCGGACAGGAUGAAUCAAUUGAUCAUUUAUUGUUCACUUGCUCUGCGGCUUCUUUGCUUUGGAGCCUGGUUAGAUGUGUCUGUGGUCUGAAAACCAUUCCUUUUAGUGUUAAAGAAUGUUUUGGGGAAUGGAUUAGCAAAUUUUGCAAAGAAGAUAAGAAAAUGGUGAUGGGUGGGGUUUCUGCCUUAUUAUGGGCAAUUUGGAAAAGUAGAAAUGCAAUUGUUUUUGAGAAAAAAAGGAUUAAUGAUCCUUUUCAGAUAAUCAAACUAAUGGUUUCGGUGGUUGAUUGA
rnacentral:rRNA from 1 species